rnacentral:lncRNA from 1 species
AGUAGAGUAUCUGAUACAUCUCUUUUUAUAAAAUCUUUGAAAAUAACUGUUGUCAGGGAUAAAUCCUUUUCAUCAUUUCCAUAAAGAUCACAUAGGACACAGUGAUUCUGAAGUGGCUGGCUUUUACACUAGGCAAAAAAAAACAAACCGGGAUAGCCACAAGGCAGGUGUAACUAGAGAGUAAAGAGUGGGAUUGCGAUUUUUCACACUUCUCUGCCCCUCUCCGCAGACCUGACAGGAGUCUUGCCUGCCCUUCCCUCCUGUGCUCUCCUCAGUCUUCUCUUUCUCUCCCUCCCUGAUUCCAAGUUCACUUGGUUGUUUAUGUUUCCCUAAAGUUUAAAUCCUUUAACCCAAAUGUUAGACAUAUCUUUAAUAAUUCAAAACCUUUAUCCAAAUACAGUAAAAGACAGUGGGACAUUUUCUUUUUUUGGGGGGGACACUUUCAAUAUUUGGGUUUUCAUAUUGUGGAUGAAAGUAUAAUAAGGAAAUGAUGUAAUAUGAUUAUUAAACAGCAUAAUCCAUCUUUCAGAAAGCCUCUUAUAUUUAGAAUUUAGCUGACUUGCAGGACAUUUCAGGAUUUAUGAGGGAUGGCAUAGUACAAUUCUCUAGCUGGAGAGGGUCACCGUUUUGGAUUCGAUUCUACCAGGCAUUACAAGGGCCUAAA